CCUUUCUGCUUUGUCAUCCGGAUCCAGUUCCACGCUUCACCUUUGGUUUUGAAGACUGGGAGACUUAAAGGAAUCUUUGACUUUGGGUACUCUCUACAGACUUGGCUCAUAGUCAGCUUCAGGCUCCUCCUGUGUAUAGUACCUCUGAGCACAAUACAUUGUCCCUUUUAGUUUCAGCUCCCAAGAGCCAAACUUGCCAUUAGCAUCCAGGCAGGGCCCACUUGGUUCCUCACUGAGGAGUGUUAGGCAACUACGGAGCUGGUAGGUUUGUCUUUUUGUUCCAGGUACAGAGUUGUUUAUCUGUCUAGAAAAGGCCAGGCAUUGGUCUUUUUGACGUGAAAAAAGUUCAAGCCAGAAAACGGGCAAGCUGCUGUGAGCAUGUAACAUCUGUGAUGUCACAAACGUCUGUUUACAGACAGAGAAUGUGGACUCAUUUUCUAAGCCCUUGAAGUGUCUAGGACAGCAGGCUGCAUGGCAAAGCAGGGAGAUACAUCUGCUGAAUUGAAUUCAGUAUACUCAAAAUUCAGAUAUUCCAUUUUGCCAAGAGAUGGCGGAUGUGAGCAUAUCUCUUCAGUUCAGACCAUAUUUACAUCGUUUAGCUAUGACAUGGGCCUGGAGUUUUCUCUGCUCAAUUCAGGCAUAACAAUCAGCUAGAUUGAAACUCAUUGUUUGCAUGCCAUUCAGAGAGGAUAAGUAGUUAAGAAGACCCUACACUGACAUCUGUCAAGGGUAUGCCAUUUCACCAUGUGACACAUAGAGUAAGCCCAUGGCAGUUUGAAAGGCAGAUGCAAUGUUCUCUGCUCUGCGAUCCCUGCUGUCAAGAGUCUGCUGUUUCCUAAAGAAUCAUGAAAUAAAUUUGGGUCGAGCUUGUAGCAUUGAGGAGGAGCAGUAGAAGAAAUGAAGAAAACAUAUUCCAUCAUCUCUGAACUAUUCCAACAUUUUGUUUAUAUCACAUUACGUUCUGAUCACACUGUAGAGAAAAUUAUCUCUCACCACGUCUGUUUCUAGUUGAACAAGAGUUUCUCCAAGAAUUGGUACAGAUUUAGCAGAACUAUAAACCCUUAUGAAGAGGAUCACAAAAUGAAUAUGAGAAUGGAACAGUUUCCUCACAAAGGCACAAUAAAAAGACCACAUUUUUCAACAUGGGAAGGACAGUUGCCAGUCUUGGACGGAUUUCAG
rnacentral:lncRNA from 1 species